rfam:Myotis lucifugus cont2.19067, whole genome shotgun sequence.
GGCGGUUCUCAGGUGAUGCACCCCAGAAUUGGGCUCCUUCCUCUCUGGUUCCAGGUGUGUCACCCAAGAACCACA